GAGGCGCCGUCUACCGGCUUCCAGAGCCCACCGCUCCCUACCCUGGCUCCCGGGGGUGUGGCCGCCGGAGGGUGUGCCGGCCCAGAGUCCCAGGCCCUGCCGGCCCGGCCUCUCCCUCCCUUCUGUCACCGCAGCCGACCGGCCAAGGGCACCAGCCCUGGAGAGGGCUCGGGGCUCAGCCUGGCCUGCUCUGCUGUGAGCUCAUUCCCCGAGUCCACCAGUUCUAGUUCCUGCCCCUCCCCCAAAGGCUCGGGUCGCAGGCUGGGGCCUGGCACCCACCCCAAAGUUUGGGAGGGGGCUCCGAGGCCAUCAGGCUCCAGGCCGCCUUUGGCUCUGCCCCCUGGCGCCAGGGAAACAAAGGUUAGGGGCCCAGAGGGAGUUAUCUGGCCCCAUCCCCACCGGGUGGGGGGGGACAAGAGGGGCGCAGUUCCCCUCCACUCCCCAGCCGUACUGAUUCUUCGAGACACUUUCACAGGCGGAAAUUCCCAGAGGUUACAGGCUGCUGUCCUCAGGGUGCCAGACAUCUUCUGCUCAAGAGCCAGCUGCCCUGGCCACCGCAACCCCACCUCCACCACCAGGCUGGGCAUCCCGAGGCUGGCAGGCAUCUCUUCAGGCAGCCGCCAGUCCUGGCACUGGCUCCCUCACUCAGCCCCUUGGCCCUGCCAGCCCUUUGAAGCUCAUGCAGUGCUUCCUGUUUGGGGCGGGCGAUGCCAGGGCCCCUCCCCCACCAUUGUUCUGAAGAGACCACAGGUCCAUCUGUUGCCCCAUGGUGGGGCCCCUAGGCAGUGCCACACGGGAGCAGCACCACAAAGGACCCUGCUGGCAGCUUUGCUUAUGUGGGGCCAGGACCUAAACUGUUCACAACUCCCAGCAGGCCAGAGCUGCAGAGACCUCAGAUAGAGACUGUAAAGUGCUGUGGAAGCCUUGUUCAAAUAAAAACAUUCAUGAAUGUCCAGUAUUUGAAAUUGAUAUGCUGAGGUUCUCCAAUGGAAACUGGGCUGGAGGCACCCACACCCCUGUUCACUCAGCCUGUUCUCCUCUCCUAUCUCAAUCUCUCUCUCUCUCUUUUUUUUUUUUUUAAUAGAAAUAACACCUUGCUGUAUUGCCUAGGCUGGUGUGCAUUGGCAUGAUCAUAGGUCACUGCAGCCUUGAAUUCCUGGGCUCAAGUGAUCCUCCCACCCCAGGCUCCUGAGUAGCAAGGACUAUAGAUGCCACACCUGGCUAAUUUUUAUUUUUAUUUUUUGUAGUGACGGGGGGUCUUGCUAGGUUGCCCAGGCUGGUCUUGAACUCCUGACUUCAAGCAGUCCUCCCACCUCAGCCUCCUAAAGUGUUGGGAUUACAGGCGUGAGCCACUGUGCCUGGCCCCCUAUCCCAAUAUCUAUAAGAU
rnacentral:lncRNA from 1 species